rnacentral:rRNA from 2 species
CCCCUAGUAACGGCGAGUGAAGAGGGAAAAGCUCAAAUUUAAAAUCUGGCGGUCUACGGCCGUCCGAGUUGUAAUCUAGAGAAGUGUUUUCCGCGCUGGACCGUGUACAAGUCCUUUGGAACAAGGCGUCAUAGAGGGUGAGAAUCCCGUCUACGACACGGACUGCCAAGCGCUUUGUGAUACACUCUCAACGAGUCGAGUUGUUUGGGAAUGCAGCUCAAAAUGGGUGGUAAAUUCCAUCUAAAGCUAAAUAUGGGCGAAAGACCGAUAGCGAACAAGUACCGUGAGGGAAAGAUGAAAAGCACUUUGGAAAGAGAGUUAAACAGUACGUGAAAUUGUUGAAAGGGAAACGCUUGAAGUCAGUCGCGUCUUCAGAAAUUCAGCUGGGCUUCUGCCCUGUGUACUUUUCUGUGGGACGGGCCAGCAUCAGUUUCGGCUGCCAGAAAAAGGUGGGAGGAAGGUGGCACCUCCGGGUGUGUUAUAGCCUCCGAUCGUAUGUGGCAGCUGGGACUGAGGACCGCAGCACGCCUUCAUGGCCGGGGUUCGCCCACGUAACGUGCUUAGGAUGCUGGCGUAAUGGCUUUAAGCGACCCGUCUUGAAACACGGACCAAGGAGUCUAACAUGCCUGCGAGUAUUUGGGUGGCAAACCCAUAUGCGCAAUGAAAGUGAACGGUUGGGACUUCUGUCAUGGAAGGCACCGACGCCCGGACCAGACCUAUUGUGACGGAUCCGAGGUAGAGCAUGUAUGUUGGGACCCGAAAGAUGGUGAACUAUGCCUGAGUAGGGUGAAGCCAGAGGAAACUCUGGUGGAGGCUCGUAGCGAUUCUGACGUGCAAAUCGAUCGUCGAACUUGGGUAUAGGGGCGAAAGACUAAUCG